rnacentral:rRNA from 1 species
AGUAGCCUUCCGAAAGGAAGAUUAAUACCGCAUAUUAUUGAUUUUUUCUUGCAUGGGAAAGUCAUGAAAGGAGCAAUCCGCUGUAAGAUGGGCCCGCGGCGCAUUAGCUAGUUGGUGAGGUAAGGGCUCACCAAGGCGACGAUGCGUAGCCGACCUGAGAGGGUGAUCGGCCACAUUGGGACUGAGACACGGUCCAGACUCCUACGGGAGGCAGCAUG